UACGUAGGGUGCAAGCGUUGUCCGGAAUUAUUGGGCGUAAAGAGCUCGUAGGCGGUUUGUCGCGUCUGCUGUGAAAACCCGAGGCUCAACCUCGGGCCUGCAGUGGGUACGGGCAGACUAGAGUGCGGUAGGGGAGAUUGGAAUUCCUGGUGUAGCGGUGGAAUGCGCAGAUAUCAGGAGGAACACCAAUGGCGAAGGCAGAUCUCUGGCCGUAACUGACGCUGAGACACGAAAGCCAGGGGAGCGAACGGG
rnacentral:rRNA from 1 species